GCGGAUCCGCAGCUUCUUCAGCUCGCCCAGGUCGAUGGCUUUGAUGGUGAACACGUCUACCUGCACAGGAGGCAAGAGGCAAAUGGCUGUGUUUCCAAGAAAGAAGGAAAGAAAGGCAGAAAAAAAAACAUGUUUGAAAGAAGUGAGAAGAAGUGUAUUGAACAGCCAGGACAUCAACCGAGAGAGCCCUGCCAGCCUCCUUCUCGUUUGAAAGUGGCAGUGACUGCCUUCAUCAUACCUUGAAGAUAUCUGUGGCUCCCCUUUCAAAGUUGUUGGAUCUGUUUUCUAAGAUG